UCUUAUUUAUAUGACUCUGUUGUAUUAUUUUUUUUUGGGGGGGGAAUGCAUGUUUAUAGCACAUAGUUUUAUAAUACAAUAUGAUCUUGUGACAUCUAAUUAAGUGUUUCAGUAUUUGUUCACAGUAAAUCCAACAAGAAAGCAUAUUUAAAAUCUGGCUUAUUAUUCAAAAUACACUUGUAGAAAUGCUACGCAAAAAAGAAGUUAAAGAUAGAGUUUGUAUUGAGCUUUGACUCUUUAAUGUUAUUAAAUAAGAGCCUACCCUACCUAAAUAACAAUGUUGUCAAAACCUCUGAAUUUUAGAUAUUUUGUCUUCUUAAGACACAAUUUACUGCACUUCUAAAUUUCCUAUACGUGAAUGGAGGCUGUUCUCUAGAGGUAGAAGAGGCAGAAGGUUUUACAGCUUGAGCUGUGAUAACAAAGGAAUUUGAAGGGGCAUAAAAUAUGAUUAUACAAAAAUCUUGGAUUUUAGGUGAUUCAGUAAUGUGAUUUAGCAAACUGUUUUUCUUAGACAACAUGCUCUUGAGUUGCUACACUAUCUGGAAUUAAUUAAUCCAUUCAGUGCUAUAUUUAUGUUCUUCAUUUUCACAUGGUAUUCAAAACUUAAGAAAACAUCUUUGUGCAGAGCAAAGACUGGAACUCUGGUGAAAGUGUAAAACCUGUGUUACGUUACUGUGGGAAUGAAAUUAAGAGAUUCAGACCUAACUUUGCUGAAGAGAACUAGGUGUUUCCGUUUAACUGCUUUAAGAUGAGCACUUUAUGUUCUUGUGUACAGAAAUAUACACACUGAUGUAACUACUUGUACUGCAAGGAUCGUGCAAACGGGAAUGUGAGCAAUUUGCAAAAUACCCUACAAAUGCCUGCUAGCAUUUACGUUGUUAUUAUUAUUAUUACUACCACCACAACCUUCUAGUUACACAUACUGUCUUGAAAUCAUGGUCUGUUAACCAUUUUGAUCCUAUGGAGUAUUUGCAAUCAGAAUUUUUUUAUCAGUCUUAUCUGCUGCCACAGUCUGCAGAGUGGCUGGCCGUGGGGCGCUGGAUGUCCUCAUGAACAGCUGCAGUGUAUAUCUAACGUAGCCUUUACACGCUCCUGAUGGCUUCAUGUAAGGGCCCCAUCCACACCGUUCUGUGGAUCCACGCUGGAGUCCUCUAACUUCCUUUGUGUUUGUAUUAUUGCGUUUUCCAUGUGCCACUGGCUUUCCCCUGCUGCUCCACGCUGGCCUCACCCACCGCCUCUGCAGUGCAGGCCAGGCCUCACGUGUCUCAGUGUCAGUGACCGUAGCAGUGGCCAGAGGAUGCUAUGACAGUGGCCUCAGGAGGGAAGGGUAUCACUGAGACUUACAAAGUGCUCUGAAAAAGUGUGAGAACCUCAGGAGGUAAAUGCUGCCCUGUGGGCUGGUGUGUGUUUCACGGAAGGCAGGACUGCAGCCUGCCAGCAGCACAGGUUGCACAGGUAUAUGGGGAAAAAAGCAUUAGAAACUUUCUAGCCAUGGGAUCACAAAGCCAAUAUAGCAAUAUUACCCCGUAAAAAGCAUUAAAAUAUAGUCAGCUGUAUCAUCCAUGUAUUCUCUGACAUGGCUAUAGCUAAUCAGGUGUAGCUGCGGCUGAAGUGUUUAAGGUGUAUAAUUGUAUGUGCCAAAAGAAAUGGCAAACUGCGCAAUAUUAAAAUUCUAACAUAAAGCCACUAAUUUUAACCAGUAGUGACUCACAGUGAACCUCCAUUAUAUCACAAGAUGUAUCAGUCUGGGUUUGUGCUUAUGUUUUUCACCCUGUUACACUUCUCUAUAUAUGAGUCUGCAGUGGCAGUAAGGGCCCUAAGCGUUUCUUUAUGUUAGAGUGCCCAAUUAAACACAAAUAUUCACUUGAGUAAAAUUCCCCAUAUGCAUUUGGUGGCCCCAUGCCCUCACCUGCAGCCAGGCAGGGAUCACGAUACAGUCACACGUGUGAAAAACAUACCGGAGCCUGUUCUACUACCACUGAACUUAACAGCAAGACUCCCUGUGUCAGUCAGCAUCAUAAAAGAUGGAUUAAUUAAUUUCCUUCCAUUAUAGCCUUCCUCUGAAAGUUGUUGCUGGUUGGUUUUUUUUUUGGUUGGGUGGUUGUUGUUGUUUUUUUUUUUUUUUUUAAUUUAUUUUGUUCUAAAUGUCUAGUAUAGUUGACAGAACAUUGAACAGAAGAUGCUUUCUGUUCAUCAGUACAAUGACCUGAGCUAAACACACAUUGGAACCAGCAGCUCAGGACAGGUGUAUUUGCAGGUUGAAGGGACCUUCUUGCCUGUACUGUUGUUGUGUGUUCACUUGCCUGUCGAUUCUGCAUUCUUAUCAGCUGCUAUAAAACACACAAGUUCUGAUCUGUAAUGUUUGUAUCUAUUUGGACAAGAGCCCUGAGGAUAGGAGGGCCUGUUGUGGGUUUGGUUGUUGUUGUUGGGUUUUUUUUUUUCACCUUACAGAUGCUUUGAAUUAAUUGCAACUGCCUAUGGAAAUAUGAUCCCCUAAGAAUGUAGAGAAAUGCAUUAUUGAUAAGUAUGUAUAAAAUACCUCUAGAUUCCCCUGCACUCUGUCUGCUAGAAAUUUCACAUCAUUAUUCCCAGACCAAAAUAUUACAAGGAAAGAAAGACUGAAGUGACUUGAGAGGAAAAUGGCAUUUCCAAACCAAGCAUUGCAACGCAGGCAAUUCAGUUAAACAGAAGAAAAUCCAAAUGGCUUCCUAGAUACAAUUAAAACACCUCAACAGCUUACUCCCUUUUUGAUGCCAUGUGAUAACUGCAGGAUGUGAUAGAGGUAAACAAUUUUUCAGUUUCAUAUUAAAUUAUAUAGAUAUGAUCAAAAAACACUUUUGGCUUUAGAAGUAUCCACAGUAUCAGUUCAGCUUCUUUGUGGACUAUAAAUGUACAUCUGGUCCGUGCUUUCAGCUGCAUGACUGUAAUGUAACCAAAAGUUCUGAAAGUUGAAUGAUUUCUGACCAACAAAAAGGGGGAAACAAAUUCUGGAAUGGGAACUGCAGUGGAGGCAAUGGGUUUCCCAGGUCUCAGGCCAAGAGCUGCUUGUUGUGGGUUUUCUAGAUCCUGUUAAACUCCUCCUUGUGUUUGAAUUUGUCCUAACGAACACAACAUUAAAAAUGAGCAGGAAUUCAAAAUAUGGCACCUUGUGUGCCUGAAACCUUGGGAUUUUUUUUUUCCUAACUACAUUUGAUACUCUUUCUGCUACAGGUCUUGGUCUCAAAGUUUAGCAGGGAAUUGUAGCCACAAGCUUAUUUGCAACAGUAGACCCCGUUGGUAGGUAGCCAUGCACAGCCAAUGAACUGGCAUCAGUGGGAAAUGCUAAAUUGGAAAACGCUCUUACAGUGGUGGUGGUGGUGGGAAUAUUGAUAGACCAUAGGAUUGCCACUGUGCUGUUCACUUAUACUCCAUAUUUCACAGAGAUUGUGCAGAAGUGAAUGUACAGUCAAAAUAUUUCACUGAGCCCUUAUACUUAGUGAAACGUUCAACAGAAAAGCCUUUUUUCAUACUCACCCAUUUCUGUUUCUUCUGCCUCCUAUGCUCAUUCAAAGCCCGUCUCCAGUGGCACAACAGCCACAGCAAACCAGCCACCCCUCCGACCUGCAGGCAGUAAGUGACGGGCAUCCCUGUGGAGCUGAUGGCUGUGGACUGACGCCUGGUGUACCAAGCAGGUUAGCUCUCAUCACUGCAGAUACAGCUACAGGGACGUAUCAUUUGGCUGAAGUGUUCUCGCCUGCUGGACUGCCAGAGCCUUUCAGGGUACAUUUCUGGUGGUGGGAAAGAAGGGGAGAGCAUGAAGAGCUCUGCCAGAGCAGUUUCCCCAAACCCUGCAGUGGCAGUUUCAGAGGACUGCCAGCUCAGCUGUCUGCCUCCUGCAGGGGGGUGCCAGCCCACGGCUGCUCCCAUCGCUCUCCUGACUGCAGACCGCCCCCCCCCCCCCCCCCCCCCAUACAGCCGGGGCUCCUUAUGACACCCGCACAUCAAAAACAAGAGGAAAAUUCAGUGCCUGGAAAAGCCCGUCUCCCUGAAUGCAGGGCACAAGCACUUGGUUGUCUUCUAGCAAAUGUAUCCCUGCAUUCACCUGGUUGUGACAGUCGAUUUGGGUUAGAAAUAACCAGAGCUUUUUUGGGGCUGUGGAAGGGCAGGGUUCACCUCUGAGUUGUUGCAAGGCUCCAUAAACAAUUUACCAAGAACAACUGGAGGAGGGCACAGGCUGCGAAUAAGCAGCUGGGGGCUGUUAAGGUGGCGUUGCCAGUGAAUGGCACCGCUUCCCUGCCCUUUCACUGAAACAGAGCUCGAGCAUUCGGAUAAUCAGUCACAAGGUCUGAGACACGGGAACGGUACCAAGGAGGUGGGCCAGCACCUGCUGCAAGCGUCCCAGGCUGGAGCCACGGAGAAGGACACCUGCCUGCCCUGGGAGCGGGGCAGCAAGAACCCUCCCGUGUGUCUGUGAACGGGUAUUUUUGAGAAGCCUGUAACUCUGAGUGGCAUUUUGAAUGAAUUUUCACCAGACAGCCAAAAAACCUCCUGCUGUCAGAUGUGCCCACGUACCAAGUCCUUGUCGCAACACACAGAGCUACUACAGUUCCUCAGCAAAAUGCUUGCAAAAAUAUUUUUAAGAUGUCAAAACCAUCAACCUUUUCCCUGAGCUGCGUUCAACAAACUAGUUUGAUCUGAAACUUUUCACUUGGAAGCACACAACAGUUUUGGAGAUUUCAACCCCCAGAAUGAAAACUUAGCACAGUUAAUGGCAUCUGAAAUUCCUGAAGGCAAAUGCUAGGCUGCAUGGUUCUUUUGCCUAAAAGUCACCAUGUCUCGCCUUUCCUCUUUUCUUGUAUCGAACCCUAAGCCAUCACCUUUUUUCAGUAACACUCGGGCCAGUAUACAACACUAAAGCAUAUAGAAACGACUGAUAUGAAAGGGCUGAAUAAAGGCAUUUAAAAAAUAAACCAGAAAUAAAUAAUGUCUUAAGAAUAACUGUUUUGUUUGCUCGCUGUUAGACAUCUGUUCACAGACACCGCAAAUGAGCCACAUUGUGUUUG